UCCCCAUCACCACCAGCACUCCCACAUCCACUCGCACCUGCACCUGCACCAGCAAGAUGCUAUCCAUGCAGCCUCUGCCUCGGUGCACCCUCUCAUUGACCCCCUGGCCUCAGGGUCUCACCUUACCCGGAUCCCCUACCCAGCUGGAACUCUCCCUAACCCCCUGCUUCCUCACCCUCUGCACGAGAACGAAGUUCUUCGUCACCAGCUCUUUGCUGCCCCUUACCGGGACCUGCCGGCCUCCCUUUCUGCCCCGAUGUCAGCAGCUCAUCAGCUGCAGGCCAUGCACGCACAGUCAGCUGAGCUGCAGCGCUUGGCGCUGGAACAGCAGCAGUGGCUGCAUGCCCAUCACCCUCUGCACAGUGUGCCGCUGCCUGCCCAGGAGGACUACUACAGGUACCCUAGGGUGCCCCAGCCCAGGGGACAUGGGCUCAGCGAGCCUGGGAGGGGCUGUGGGCAUGGUACGGCUGGGCACUGUGCUCCUGGGGGAGGGAACCCCUCCUCUCCCAACCCCUUUGGUAAGAGGGGGCAAGGUCAGGGUUGGUCUCAAGCCUCUUACCUCUCUGCUAUGCACUGCCCCUUCCCUAGUCACCUGAAGAAGGAAAGCGACAAGCCACUGUAGAACCUGCGAUCAAGAGAGCACCAUGGCUCCUACAUUGGACCUUGGAGCACCCCCACCCUUCCCCCACCCCGCCCUUGGCCUGCCACCUAGAGCCAAGAAGGUGCUGCUCAGUUGCAGGGCCUCCGCAGCUGGACAGAGAGUGGGGGAGGGAGGGACAGACAGAAGGCCAAGGCCCGGUGUGGUGUGCAGAGGUGGGGAGGUGGCGAGGAUGGGGACAGAAAGCGCACAGAAUCUUGGACCAGGUCUCUCUUCCUUGUCCCCCCUGCUUUUCUCCUCC
rnacentral:sRNA from 1 species